CUCUAGUGAAUUUUUCAUUUCCAGUAUUGUAUUCUUCAUUUCUGAUUGGUUCUUUUUUAUAUCUUCCAGUUCUUUGUUGACAUUCUCACUGAGUUCAUCUAUUCUUCUCCCCAGAUCAGUGAGCAUCCUUAACACUCUUUGUUUGAACUCUCUGUCAGGAUUCUGUAGCUGCUAAAGGUGGCAAAGGCGAAAAACCAGCUUGUGAAGGAAAAGUGUUGAUGCUGGCACAUACCUUGUACCUUCCCAUCACUCCUAGGUGACAGAUGGAGUUGCCCACAGCCUGGAGGGAGAGUUCUGAGGAUGAAGAAGUAUUUCUGCACCUGAAGAAGUCUCCAGGCGAUUUAGCUAAACCUUGAAUGCCAUAUUGGAUUUCUUCAGAGAAAUUAAGCUGCAGAUGGUGAACCAAUAUUAAGGAUGUCGUAGGAAAUGAUGCCAUCUUUAGGUGCCAUUAACAUACCACUGAUGUGUGUGCUCAGAUGUGCAACAUGGUGCACAUCUCCUCCUUUCUCUUUCUGCCAAGAUUAUUUUUUUGCAUAAUUAUGAAUAUUGGAUGAUCAAAAUAAAGAAGGAGUGGCUGGCAAUCUAAAUUACACUGAUGGAUGGAUCUUAGAUUUUAUCUAGUCUGGGAAACAUCACGGUGUACUGGUAGUCCACUAAUCAGUGCUCAGGCUGUGGCAUCAGACUGCCUGGCAUUGCAUCCCAGUCCCAUCCCUCGUCAACUGCCUGUUCUUUGGCAAGUUACUUAGCUUCUCUAAGUAUCAGCCUCCUCGUCAGUAAAAUGAGGCUUAUUAAAUUAAAUAAUCAAUUUAAAAUGCUCAGCUUGGUUCCUGGCACAUAUUAAAUGCUCAAAUAAUGUUACUCUUAUUAUUAGCUCCAAGCAUAAUGCCUGGAGUAUCGUAUGUGUUCAAUGGUCUAAUUUUGCUUCCUUCCUAUCUUGAGAUCCCCCUCAAAUGUGUUUAAAUAUUUGGGUAACAAAAAUUGUAAAAUCUCGACUACUUACCCUGUCAUCUGACAGAUAAGGAAACUGAUGCUCACAGCUUAAGUAACUUGUUAAAAGACUUAUUCAUAAGAAAUCUUUCACCCAUGCAUUGUUAAAUUUUAUUGAGAGGAUAGUAUAUAUCCUUGCUACUCAAAGUGUGAUAUGGAUUAGCAGCAUCAGCAUCACCUGGGAGCUAGUUAGAAAUGCAGAACUGCAGGCUCCUCCCAGACCUAUGUGAUUUGUAUGUACUCUAAAUUUUGAGAAGCCUGGCCCUAGAUCAUUGUUGGUUUUCAGACUUGGAUGUGUAUUGGAAUCACCCGAUGAGCUUUAAAAAACUACUAAUGCCAGCGUCCCAAGUCCAGAGAUUCUGAAUUAUUCGGUAUGGGCGCAGGCCUAGGCAUAGAGAUUUUUGAAAAAGCUCCAGGUGAUUCUAAUAUUCAGCCAAGGGGGUGAGAAGCAUUGUAUAUACAGUUGUUAUCUCUGGGUGAGGUGGUAAUGGUAAGUAAUUUUUUUAGUUUCUCUAAAUGGUUCAGUUCUCGCACAAUGAACAACAUUUAAUUUUAUAAUACAAAAGAAUUUAAAGGCCAAAUAGGGCACCUGGCACAUAGUUUCUUGCAUGUCCUCAUCUGAAUUCCACAAAGUUCUAUUCUGAAUCCGUCCAGCAAGGGACUAAACUACAUGGUUGCCAGGUUUGUUAUGAACUUAGAUCUGAAACCUGCCAUGUGUUUUCCCCUAACACACUGGCUGAGCUCAGCGACUGUUUGGCUCCCUCAUUCUGGCAUAGUUUCCUGUACUGCCUAUAGCGUUACACCUCUCCUAGCUCUAUCUGGCCCCCGGGAUCCUUGUAGCAGAGAUACACCUCUGUGGUGAUGCUCUCUCUUCCCCACAAAAGCAUAUUUGGAUCCAAGGCACAGUGGGAAGAGCCAAGAAGAUACAACAAUAAGUCCCCAUAUUUGCCCUCAUGGAACUAACAAUCCAGGGAGGGAGACAGACACAUAUGCAAAUAACUACAAUACAAGGUACGAGCUGAUACACACCAGGACAACUCUGGGGCCCUAAAGAAGGAAAGAUUAAUGCUGAAUUGUGCAAUUGGAAAAGAUAAGGAAUAAGUUGACUUUGUACUGGGCCUUUAAUGGUGAACACAAUUCCAAUAGAUAGAGAGGUUGGAAAAAUUUAAAAUGUCAAAUCUGUAGCUGAGAAUAAUAAGGCAAAAGAUUAAAGAAAAACAUAAAUCUGGGUUUCAAUCCUGGCUCUGCUAUUUCUUAGCUGUGUGACUAAGGACAAGUUAUAUAACUUCUCUGAUCUCAGUCUUGUCACCUCUGAAAUGGGGAUAGUAAGAACUCCCUCAUAGGCUUUUGAUUAGAAAAAAUACAGAUGAAGUAGUUAGCAUGGUGCCUUGCACUUAGCCUAUGCUGUUUAAAAAACAGAAACAGCAUCUAUAAGGAACAGUGUAUUAUUUUUGAUUUUUAUCAAAAAUCCAAGAGCACUGGGAUACUAUUUCUAAUUACAUUCCAAAGGAAAAUCUUAAUUGUCUCUAGAUAGGUUACCUCUGACAAUGUUUGAAAAUUUAAUAACCAGGAAACUGAAAGUUGAAGUGUCCUUCUGCUCAUUCGAAUGAACAUCAUAAAGUCCUUCAAUUCCUGCCACACUCUGGAGGUGUGAAACAACCGCUGUUACUCUCCUUAGAAAUGAUUUCACUGCAAAUGAUUUGUUUCUACAUCUGUUUUCUUGUGACAGAUAAAAUCAGGAGGAUGGAUAAAGUGCAAAUUACUCAGAGGAUGUGCAAAGUCUUGAAAACACAUGUGCUUUCUUUAAGAUCAUCUUUGCUCUAUGAUUUACACAAGGCCUUAUGUAGGAGCAAUGUUUUGAAAUGCAAUUAAAAAAAAAUCUGGGGAAAGUAUCUCGUGUUACGGAGACAAAUGUUAUCGGAAGACUGGCAACCCUUUUAUUUUUAUAUCACACAUUUUCCAGUUAAUUUUCACAUAAUUCAAUUCUUUCCUUUUAUCCUAAAUUUAUAUAUACACUGUAAAAACUCAUUAUUUUUUAUUCCACCUAUCUGAGAAUUUGUAAUAGUUAUGGGGCUGGUUGAAGUUUACCUUUGUACUACCCAGGUAAAUUAAUAGGGGGGAAAGGUCUCAGGGGAAUACUUAAUGUACUGGAGACAAACCAUUUGCAAAGCACUUUAAUUUUAACAACCACCAUUUUGAUGUUCUAAUUGGAAACAGCCGACGUAACUAUUCAUUAGAGUCUGUCCAAACAGGUCUCCUGUUUGGCAACACUUUGUUAAUGGUAACAUUAACCUUAUGUGUUUAUUCCAAAGCUGUAAACAUGUGUUUCCUGAAGUAUUCUAGAACCCACAUUCUCAACAGCUAUAAAAUCCUCCUCAACAAGAGUCUGAAUUAAUGGAAUUUCAUGGUCUUUCUGCUCCUUGGGAAGAAGUACCAUCUCUUGCAAAAAUGAUGAAAUUCGUGCUUAAUCAUUUAUCAGCGCAGCAACUUUGUGCAAGUCUUUAAAAAUGUUGUGUGCCUCAGUUUCUUCCUCUGUAACAUAGCAAUGAUUUAAUGGGGAAGCAAUUAAGCUCUUCCUCACUAAAGGUAACAGACAAGAUUUUUUCCUUUAUAAAUAGAAGUGGAAAUAAAGGAGGGAUUAGAAUCUUUUAUAACUCCUUACAAAAAAUGUUGUAUUAAUUCAGGGAAGAGCUGGGUUCUCAUUCUGCUCUUUUGUAGGGGAUUUUAUAAACAAUUCUGUUAUAGCUUUACCACUUUGUAUUCUGUUUGCUUAUUUGUUUUCUUCAAUAGACUGUGGCCUCUCCAGGACAACCAUGUUUUUAUUCAUUUGAUGUUCAUUAAAGGAAAAUCUUUUAAGAUUCUAA